CUUCUCACAUCCCACAUCUACUUGAAGGACUGAGCCGAGAUAUUUAAAGUGAUUACUUUGGUAUAGUACCACUCCAUCUAAACUAACUCCUUCCCUAUCACCAGUUCGGCCUUCACUGAACUUGCAAUGCAUGUAUUAUGUCUUCAUUCUACUUAACUUAAAACCCUUUGGCUUUAGAGUACUUCUCCAAAGUUCUAGCUUUCUAUUGACUCCUUCUCGCGUCUCAUCUGUAAGAACUAUAUCAUCCACAAACAUCAUGCACCAAUGGAUACUUUCUUGUAUAUGUUUCGUCAUUUCAUUUAAAAUUAAUGUAAAUCUAAAAUUAAUGUAAGUGGAGAUGCUGAUAAUGCAUUUUAUAUUAGAGAUCAAUUGUUGUCUUUUGGGGUUUUACAAAAUUUAUUUACCUAUAAUGCAUUGAUUCAUGCACAUGUAAAAGUACAUAACAUUGUUGGUGCAGACUCUCAAAAAGGAGAUGGUUUGGUCUGGUCUUUUUCCUGAUGAGUUUACUUACAAUCUUUUGAUCCAUGCAGCUUGUAAUGUUGGGCACAUUCAUUUUGCACUUAACUUGUAUAAUAAAAUGCUGAUAUGAACCAGAUAUAAUAACUUACACUGAACUCAUUGGAGGUCAUUGUGUGAGGGGUAAGAUGGAGGAGGCUGUGGAUCUUUUUUCCAAAUUACAAAAUUCUGGUCUUACAAUUGAUCAUGUUCCAGUUCAGAUACUUAUCAAAAAGUACUGCAUAAUGAGGGAGACUGAUAUGGCAUUUGACCUCUUUCAAAAUUGGUUGACAAGGAAAAGAAAAAGUCUUUCAUUGUGCCACAGUUAUGCAGGGUCAGACUCAGAGCUGAAUUACUGGUUUUCAUGCUAGAGCAGAAUUUAAAUUGCAAGUCAUGGUCCUUGUAUUUGAAUAUCUGAAAAUUAAUUGACGGCCGCUGCUUUCUGUUUGAGGAAACUUUGAACCUUGCAUAUGAUUUUUCUGAAGGUAUGUAUCUCUUUUGAUGUUUUAUGAUUUUUUGGAGUGUCAUUGUCCUAUUCUUUGAGAUCACUGGAAUGCCUACUACCAUAUGUGAACACAAUGCUCUUCUAUAAUUUUCCUGUAUAGUGCAACUCUCCUGAGAAUCUAAUUUUUUAACCUGGAAGAUUUUGUAUUGUUCACUACAUGCUAUAGCGUAGGCAAUGACUUUAAUAGGUGCUUUGUCAUAGUACUGACUGCUGUGGUUAGUUACUAGAUAAUAAGGUGUGAUAAUCAGUGAAUCUUAGUUGAGUUAAUAGUACAUUGUUGGACUUUCUUUGGUUCAUUUGUUUUAUUUGAGUCCAGCAUGAUUUAUAUGAGGUUGACUUGGUCUGUGCGAUGAUCGAGUUACUUGGGUUCCAUUGGUGUGACUAGUUUGAUAAUGUGAUUAAUAUUAAAACUUCUCUAUUUUUACUUUCACAUACAAUGAUGUGUCUUGGAUAUGAGUUGGACCCAUAAGUUGUUUCUAGCUUCCUGCUUUCAUCUUAGACAGUGAGAGAUCAAUAGAGAGAUUUUAUAGUCACCUCCACCCCACAAAAAAAGAAUUGGAUAUGGGGGGCUAGGAUGUAUUGAAUCAAUUUUUGAUGCUGUUUAACUGGUAUGCUUUCAUGUGCUUAGUGAACUGAGGUACAUCUGGAACUCAGGGAUUUAGUGCAGUGCAUCCAUUUGCUUUCAAGAUCAGUAAGUAAUAGAGUUCACCAGUUGGAGGCUGGAGCUAAGUACCUUGGUUUAGAGCAUUGAAUACAAGCAAUUGCAGUUACAUGCUCUAGGAAGUGAAGUACAUCCUAUUUCAAGUGUCAAUUACUUUUGAGAAGCACAAGAUAUUUAACCAAGUUAUUAUAUCAGGUUCUUAUUGAUUUGCGUUCAUCAAAAUCAGUGCUUUGGUUUGAUAUAGUUUCCAAAUCUCGAUAUUGCAGGACCCUACUCAGCAACUGUUACCAUCUUCAAUGCAGUGAGAAUGUGCCAUAAGAACCCAAAUGCCUCCUUGGGCUGAACUAUUCAGUUCUCAAUGUGCAACUCCUCUUUUUGUGUCUGUGGAAAGAGCCUUGGCAGGGAUGUCUUGUAUACUUUCCCCUAGUGCCUGAGCAAUGAUAUUGGAUUGAACAGAAAAAAAAAAGGGACAAGAUACAAAGAAUACGAUAGUUGUAUAUUUGUGCGAGUUGUUUUAACAAUGGAAGUUCUGUUUUCUGUUGUUCAUGACACCGUGUAAUUAAGAUUGAACUUGUGCAAAUAGAUUAGUUUGAGCCUUCGAGCUUUGAAUCUAGUGCUUGUCUGUGAUGAAAUGGUAUACUGUUGUUUUGCUAGAGUUGACAAAGAUGACUGCCAGUGCCAAUCCCUACAACUUCAUGUCAGACACAAGUUGAAUGAUCUUGUGUGGCCAAGAUCUUAGGCCUUGUGGAUAACAAAAUGAUAUGCUGCAAUAUCAAGCAUAUUAUCAAAUACAUAAUUCAUGGACUGCAUAGCAGGCUGGUAGAGAAAUGUGUCAAGUCUAAAGUUUGUUCUCUUUCUUUGUGUCUGUGUGGAUAGCUUGGAAAAGGGAUUGGAUACAUGAAAAUCAUGGUCUAAAACAAGAGACCAUCGGUGCAUAUGUUUUGGAAAGGAGAGCAGUUGAUAAAUAAGAUUUGAAAUGCAUUUCACAAAGUCUGAUGUAUCUUUUUAUGGGUGUAGGGACUGAGAAUUUUCUUAAAGAAGAUUAGUCUUGAAAUAUAAAUCUACACAUGGAAGCAAAACGAAGGAACUUUCGGCUCUUAAGAAGAAAGAUCAGCAAGAGUAAACGUGAUUUUGGGCAGUUGUGUGAUGGAUUCGUCGGUGCCAUGGACUGCGUUGUUGAUUAACUUCUUAUGAUUGCCUAUAACGGCCGUUUGAUUAUCUGAAAUCUCUCCUCUUGUACUAUCCAAAAAAAAAAAUGAUCUAUUUAAAAAAAAUUGCCACAUUUGUUUUUUCA